rnacentral:rRNA from 1 species
AGAGUUUGAUCCUGGCUCAGGAUGAACGCUGGCGGCGUGCCUAAUACAUGCAAGUCGAGCGAAUGGAUUAAGAGCUUGCUCUUAUGAAGUUAGCGGCGGACGGGUGAGUAACACGUGGGUAACGUGCCCAUAAGACUGGGAUAACUCCGGGAAACCGGGGCUAAUACCGGAUAAUAUUUUGAACUGCAUGGUUCAAAAUUGAAAGGCGGCUUCGGCUGUCACUUAUGGAUGGACCCGCGUCGCAUUAGCUAGUUGGUGAGGUAACGGCUCACCAAGGCAACGAUGCGUAGCGACCUGAGAGGGUGAUCGGCCACACUGGGACUGAGACACGGCCCAGACUCCUACGGGAGGCAGCAGUAGGGAAUCUUCCGCAAUGGACGAAAGUCUGACGGAGCAACGCCGCGUGAGUGAUGAAGGCUUUCGGGUCGUAAAACUUUGUUGUUAGGGAAGAACAAGUGCUAGUUGAAUAAGCUGGCACCUUGACGGUACCUAACCAGAAAGCCACGGCUAACUACGUGCCAGCAGCCGCGGUAAUACGUAGGUGGCAAGCGUUAUCCGGAAUUAUUGGGCGUAAAGCGCGCGCAGGUGGUUUCUUAAGUCUGAUGUGAAAGCCCACGGCUCAACCGUGGAGGGUCAUUGGAAACUGGGAGACUUGAGUGCAGAAGAGGAAAGUGGAAUUCCAUGUGUAGCGGUGAAAUGCGUAGAGAUAUGGAGGAACACCAGUGGCGAAGGCGACUUUCUGGUCUGUAACUGACACUGAGGCGCGAAAGCGGGGGGAGCAAACAGGCUUAGAUACCCUGGUAGUCCACGCCGUAAACGAUGAGUGCUAAGUGUUAGAGGGUUUCCGCCCUUUAGUGCUGAAGUUAACGCAUUAAGCACUCCGCCUGGGGAGUACGGCCGCAAGGCUGAAACUCAAAGGAAUUGACGGGGGCCCGCACAAGCGAUGGAGCAUGUGGUUUAAUUCGAAGCAACGCGAAGAACCUUACCAGGUCUUGACAUCCUCUGAAAACCCUAGAGAUAGGGCUUCCUCUUCGGGAGCAGAGUGACAGGUGGUGCAUGGUUGUCGUCAGCUCGUGUCGUGAGAUGUUGGGUUAAGUCCCGCAACGAGCGCAACCCUUGAUCUUAGUUGCCAUCAUUAAGUUGGGCACUCUAAGGUGACUGCCGGUGACAAACCGGAGGAAGGUGGGGAUGACGUCAAAUCAUCAUGCCCCUUAUGACCUGGGCUACACACGUGCUACAAUGGACGGUACAAAGAGCUGCAAGACCGCGAGGUGGAGCUAAUCUCAUAAAACCGUUCUCAGUUCUUAUUGUAGGCUGCAACUCGCCUACAUGAAGCUGGAAUCGCUAGUAAUCGCGGAUCAGCAUGCCGCGGUGAAUACGUUCCCGGGCCUUGUACACACCGCCCGUCACACCACGAGAGUUUGUAACACCCGAAGUCGGUGGGGUAACCUUUUUGGAGCCAGCCGCCUAAGGUGGGACAGAUGAUUGGGGUGAAGUCGUAACAAGUAGCCAAUCACUAGUGAAUUCGCGGCCGCUGCAGGUCGACCAUAUGGAGAGCUCCCA